UACGUAGGUGGCAAGCGUUGUCCGGAUUUACUGGGCGUAAAGCGCACGUAGACGGCUUUGUAAGUUAGAGGUGAAAGCCCAGGGCUCAACCCUGGAAUUGCCUUUAAGACUGCAUCGCUUGAACAUCGGAGAGGUAAGUGGAAUUCCGAGUGUAGAGGUGAAAUUCGUAGAUAUUCGGAAGAACACCAGUGGCGAAGGCGACUUACUGGACGAUUGUUGACGCUGAGGUGCGAAAGCGUGGGGAGCAAACAGG
rnacentral:rRNA from 1 species